AUUGAACGCUGGCGGCAUGCCUUACACAUGCAAGUCGAACGGCAGCGCGGACUUCGGUCUGGCGGCGAGUGGCGAACGGGUGAGUAAUGCAUCGGAACGUACCUUUCAGUGGGGGAUAACGUAGCGAAAGUUACGCUAAUACCGCAUAUUCUGUGAGCAGGAAAGCAGGGGAUCGCAAGACCUUGCGCUGAUUGAGCGGCCGAUGUCAGAUUAGCUAGUUGGUGAGGUAAAGGCUCACCAAGGCGACGAUCUGUAGCGGGUCUGAGAGGAGGAUCCGCCACACUGGGACUGAGACACGGCCCAGACUCCUACGGGAGGCAGCAGUGGGGAAUUUUGGACAAUGGGGGCAACCCUGAUCCAGCCAUGCCGCAUGAGUGAAGAAGGCCUUCGGGUUGUAAAGCUCUUUCGGCCGGGAAGAAAUCGCAUGGGUUAAUACCCUGUGUGGAUGACGGUACCGGAAUAAGAAGCACCGGCUAACUACGUGCCAGCCGCCGCCGUAAUAC
rnacentral:rRNA from 1 species